CAUGGAACAUUUAAUUACAUCAAAUGAGGAAUUGGAUCAUUUAUCAAUAUUGUAUAUAUUAGUUAAUUCUUUCAAUACUGAUGAAAUACAUGUAGAACUCCUUGUACAUGUCAUUAUAACUUAUUUUACUAAAAUAUUUACAGUAUAUCAACAGUAAUAUUUGCAUUGAAAUGAAGGAAUAUGUCAAACAGACACAAUUUCAUUUAUAUCAGUUAUUGUCAUGCUUAAAAAUCACUUGUCAAGCCUUUUUUAUCAUUGCUUACUUCAUACAUGUAUACAUAAAACCAGGUAAACAUAAACAUACAUGUAUUCAUGACAGAAAGAGUGAAAAAGACUAUAGGUGAGCUAUUUUUAGGUUAACCUACAUAACAGGGUACAAGGUUUACGUCCCACUAGGAAUACUCUCCUUCAUGGAGGUGACGUAAACAACAUUUUUUAGCUGAGUAAUUCCUUUAAAGUUUAAGCUUAAGAAGUGAAUAUUUAGUGGAUAUUACAUACCAGCCAUGGCACCGAACUGCUGCUUCACUUGACGGACACGAUCACCGGAGGGGAAGCUGAUAUACCGGUAUGCAAGGGCAGAAAGCACCUGUCCAACCUGGCGGCAAACUCUGCUUACUGUGGGCUGGCUCAGGUUGACAGUGUCAACGACAGUCAACUGGAAAGCUCCUGUUGCCAAAAAUCGCAGAUAGCUUAAAACGCACAACACCAAAGGUAUUGCGAAACAUCUGCCUGUGUCCCGGGCAGCUGCCUGGCAUAAAUCAACAAUGAAGUAGAUCGUAUCCGGCCGGAAACGAUAACGAGCAAAUAUAUCCUCUUCCCGUAGGUCCUCCAGAGGGUUACUCCUAUCGCGAAAAACACGAGGACGUGGCACUUGCCUCAGAAACAUACGAUCUCUAACGAUAGCUCUAUGUCCAGCCGCCAUCUUUGAAGGUUGCAAAGCUUCUAAAUUAUAGACUCAACAUUUGAGACUCAGGCUCAGACUUUGAACUCAAACUUUGAUCUCAGAAACAUUAGUGAAUACCGUUUUACAGCCCAAAGUCUGAGUCUUGAGUCCUAAGUCUACAUUUGAGGCUAAGACACGUACGUGAAUACGGGCCCUGAUUCUCUGCAUACUCACUCAAAUUUUCUGCCUGACCUUAGAUAAUCUGAUAAGCCCAGCCUGUACUGUGAGAAAUAGCUUGGUCAAUAAACUAACAGAGCACACUGAUAAAAGGACUGUGAACAUGUGAGUCGGACACUUGAAGAGUUCUACACAGUCCGCUGUCAAGUAACAGACAUGAAGAACCUAUAUGAGUCUCUUGAUGAGGUUACAGUGAAGGACAUGUUAGAGGGAGAUAUAUUACAUGUACACCUGCUCCAAGUGUAGCAAGAAGGUUCGAGAUAAGAAAAGAGCGUGUUUCAGGAAGCUGCCGAAAAUAAUCUGUUUCAACACGAUGUGUUACACGUUUAACAUGCUGGCAAUGAUGAAGAAGAAAGUCAUCACACAUUUCUCCUUCCCGCUCCGCCUCCACAUGUCUCCAUACAUGGAGAAAAACUUCAUUUCCUCUGAUAAACUACAAAAAGAUGACAGAAGCUUGCUGAACAAAAAGAUGAAAUCAGGGAUGAAUAUUGAUUUCAAAAAUCAAAGAUAUCAACUUUCGAAUUACCCGCCACAGUUCGUAGCCGUUAGUAGCCAGCUUCGGAAUCGAUCAUUUGCAUAAUACAUGAAUGAAGCGCCCGUAUGUAAACAACUGAUACUUGGGAUAGCGACUUUCAUUCAGCUACAAUCAUGAUCAAAAGAAAUGUUUCUACCAGUUACUCUUGAGUCACCUCCAAGCAUUCCCUUAUCGCAAAUUGAUAUUAAAAGAGAAUGUUGAUGAGCCUAUAAUCCAUCGAUUCAAAUACCAUAACACAGCCAACCAAAAACAAAAACAGUAAACAAGUGGGCAAGCUGACAAAGCUGCCACAUCAGUGAGCAAUUAUAAGGGUCAUCAAGAUGGAGCCAGGAUUCAUAAUGCUGUAUAAGAGGUGCUGGACCAGAGUCUGAGGAAGGGAGUAGAACUCCAAGCUGGUUUGAGUGUGCUUCAACUGCCGCGACAUUUCAAUGCAGAGUUAAAGAGUUUGUUAUUGCCGGGGAAGCCCGUCUUUCUCAAACUGCUGAAAGAACCUUAUAGAAACUAAAAUUAAGCAUAGAUCUAAGACAUGAGUGUACCUAAAUGUUAAAUAAAGUAGAUAUUUAUGAACAAUUUUAUAACAUUUCAUGUGAAUUUAAAAGCUGGUUUUACAUUAUUUAAUACUGCUAAUGAGUUCUUGAAAAUUUGUACUGAGAAAUGGAUACUUGACAACUCAUUUGCAUGUUUGUACUUAUUACUUCUUAGGAAGUCUAGUGUUGUAUUUUUCUAAAAAAAACAGCAUACUGAGUAUAAUCAUAUGGUUUUAAACAUCUUAACAUGCAUGUAGUCACACACAGGCAGACCGAGUUGAAUUGUUGGCAUGUAUGAAAUAUGGGCUGUGUUAUUUUAUAAACAUUAAAAAGUUUUUCUAUAUGCUGGCAAAGUUUGUAUCUACUAAGUUAUUAAAAGCACUCCUGUUUAGGUGCGUGCUGAGAACUUUCUUGAACAUUUGUACUGAAGUAAGUAUGACUUAAUAGUAGCACAUCACUGGAUAUUUCUUGUUUUUAAUCUUAGUAUCUGUGAAUUAUGCUACUGGCUUUUGAUAAACCUUUCCUCUUUCAGGACUCUGACCUCCUUGUUUUAAAUGAAGAGGUUCUAACCCUUGCCUAUUUGAUGAGGCAGGAUUUCUUGUGUUCAUUGAUGAGGAGGACCAGGCGCGACCCAACUGCUACUAGGUGACUUAUAUUGUGUUUUGAGUUAUUUUUUGGCUGGUGACAAGAGGGCUUUUCUCUUAUGUUGUGUGGCGACCAGGAAACCUUCGCGAUUCCCUAAGAACAAUACACUGGCCUUUUGCCAAGGAGGGUUCAGUAGAUGAACACAAUUUUUGCAGAUGGAUCUUAUCUCGAGGGCUGAGCGCGAAACUGUUCCAUCUGCAUUUUUGUAAAUUGUUCAGGAGAAGCUAAAAACUGUUUAUUUUUCUUAUUAAGGCUUUUCUUGUUACUAUAUUCAGAAACUUAGUUCAAAAUGAUGUCAGAAGUAUAGGUAUGACUCAGAUUUUAACCAAUGCCUUUUUAAAAUAUGUAUUUAUUACAAAUAUUUUUUUUUUAUGUUACUUAGAACAGUUUCACGGUCAAAAUUGCCUAAAAACUAAACUCUUGUUUCACUGCGAAACUAUAUGAAAUUUUAUUUUAAAAAGUAUGGUUUAUAUUGCAAUUUUACUAUUUAAAUGAUGGUUCAUAACUUUAUACACAAAAUAGUUAUGAAAAUUUGUCACUUUUAGGAAAAAAGCAGCAAGAUAUGAAAUUAAAAUUACUGCGAAACUGUCCUAUUUGCCAUUUUCGAAUUGCGCUUCAUAUAUCAGUUACCGAAUGUUUUUACCAGAUUAAAUGACUAAAAUUUAACAACUAUGAACUGAAACCUUUUUUUUAAAUUGAAAACUGAAGUUAAUAGUUGAAACAUAAGAUGAAUAACAUUAAUUAAGCAUGAUUUGCAGAAAAAAAAAAUAUGCAUUUCAAGAAACAUUUUUCCUCAGUUAAAUGAACAAAUAAUAUAAUAUUAUUGAAAUAUUCCCAAGCAAGAAACACGUUUGAUCAUGAAAAAAAUGAUUGCAUGAUAUAAAUAUCUAUGAUGUAAGUUUUUAAAGUAAACUCUGAACUAUAAACCUUCUUUUUAUUGUGAAAAAAAAGCCUCUAAAAUAUGGGUAUUUUUUUACGAUUGAGCUAAACAUCUGUACAGUUGUACAAAACAGAACAAACCAAAAGUGUGACAACAAUCAGUUAAAAAAGUGUGACAACAUCAGUUAAAAAGACUACAAGUAUUUGUGUACUCGUUAUAUCUGCGAUAAUGACCAAAUCACUGCAAUGUAACAUCAGUCAGAGUCUAGUGAAUCGUGUGAAAUUUUGCAUGGAUAUCCUGGACUCGAUAUUUAUUCAUAUAGUCUUCAGCCGAUCAUGAACAAUCAUAUCGUUUUUGGUGGCCAAUAAUAACUACCCUGUGUAUCAUCCAAAUACUACAGUAAAAUAUCUCGACUAAACAAUUUUAAUAAUAGUUAAUGGAGUAAAAACACUUAUUUAUUAGUGUUUGGCAAGGAUAUCUCUUUACUAGCCAGCGCGCAUGCAAAACGUCUAGAUAUUAAGGAACUGUAUAUAUAUAUGACCAAUAAAUGAACUACGGUAAUUAAAAGUUGGCGAUUAUUUUCAUCAGAUCUGUCUGUCAAUCCAUUUAAUAGAGACAUGAGUGUAAACACUAAGGCAUACCAAGCAUGAUUGUGGUCACAUAUCUUUGUGCAUUUGAAAUGAAUCUGCCUGGCAGAAUCAGGACCUUUACCUCCCAAUUCAACAUAUUUUAUCAUUUUUAGCUCCACUGGCCGAAGGCCAUGGAGCUUAUGUCGUCACAGAUUGUCCGUCGUGAGUGCGUGCGUGCGUGCGUAAACUUUUACUUUAAACGACAUCUCCUCUGAAACUGAUAAGCGGAUUUUGACAAAACUUCACAGGAAUGUUCCUUUGGUGGUCCUUUACCAAAAUUGCUCAAAUGGUUCCGGUCCAUUGCACAAUAUGGCCGCCAGAGCUAAAAAUAGCAAAAUCUUUAAACGACAUCUCCUCUGAAACGGUUCGGCAGAUUUUGAUGAAACUUGACAGCAAUGUUCCUUGGGUGGUCCUUUAUUAAAAUUGCUCAAAUGGUUCUGGUCCAUUGCACAAUAUGGCCGCCACAGCUAAAAAUAGCAAAAUCUUUAAACGACAUCUCCUCUGAAACAGAUUGGCAGAUUUUGAUGAAACUUGACAGCAAUGUUCCUUGGGUGGUCCUUAACCAAAAUUGCUCAAAUGGUAGCGGUCCGCUGCACAACAUGGCUGCCAGGGCAAAAAAAUAGAAAAACCUUUAAAGAACAUCUUCUCAGAAACCGAUGAUCAGAUUUUGAUGAAACUUAACAGAAAUGUUCCUUGGAUGGUCCUUUAUCAAAUUUGCUUCAAUGGUUUCGGUCCACUGCACAAGAUGGCCCCCAGAGGUAAAAAUAGAAAAACCUUUAAACGACUUCUCCUCAGAAACUGAUGAUCGUAUUGCAAUGAAACUUGACAGAAAUGUUACUUGGGUAGUCCUUAACCAAAAUAGCCCAAACAGUUCUGGUCUGCUGCACAACAUGGGCACCAGAGCUAAGAAUAGAAAAAAACGUUAAACUACAUCUUCUCAGAAACCGAUUAUCAGAUUUUGAUGAAACUUUACAUAAAUGUUCAUCGGGAUGCCCUUUAACCAAAAUUGCCCAAAUGGUUCCGGUCCGCUGCACAACAUGGCUGCGAGAGUUAAAAAUAGAAAAACCUUUAAGGACUUCUCGUCCGCAGUCUUCACGAAAAACAUUUUAACCUACUAGCCAGUUGGACUAGCAUAAUGGCAUAUUUUACUAGUCCGAAUGACAAUCUAGUAGUCUGACUAUUUUGCCACAUUAUAAAACUGUAUGCUUGCGGUAAAUACCUAUUUCAAUUGAGCAGCUUGCAGUUUGAGUAAACAUUUCUUUAUUAUGAUGCUCAUGCAGUGAUAGGGAGUGACAUCCUUCUGUUGGGAAUAGUGCUCCUUGUUUUUCAGAACCUAUGGGUACUAUGUAAAAACAAAAGGCAUCUUGCUUGAAUAGACUGUAAUAAUAUCAACAUGGUUAGAAAAGAAAUGCCAUGCUUUAAUAGCUUUGAUUACAUUUUACUACUGAAUUACCUCCCUUUAAUAGAAAAAAAAAUAAUGUCUUAAUUUUUCACGUAUAGCAUCUUUAAAUAAUUUUUAAACAAUAAUAAUUUAUGAGUAAACAUAUAAGCAUAAAGUUCUCACAAAAAGAUCAAUUUAAAAACCUUACAUUUAUACAUAGGAAAGUAUAUAUAGACUGAACAUUAAUUUUCGUUUAAGUGACAUUCUGAAAGUUUAUGAAACAGCUAUUUUUAGUAACUUAAAUGGCCGAAAAGUGUAAGUGAAACACCAAGUCGAUUCUAUCUCGUCAGUUCUUGUUCAGGUUAGAUAUUUGCUUCAUAAUCUAUUCAGAUUAAAUGUUAACCGAUGAUCAGAUUUUGAUGAAACUUGACAGAAAUGUUCCUUGGGUGGUCAUUAACCAAAAUUUGUUAAAUGGUUCCAGUCCACUGCACACCAUGGCUGCCAGAGCUAAAAAAUAAAAAAAACUUUAUACGACUUGUCGUCGAAACCGAUGACCUUUUUUCGAUAAAACUUGACAGAAAUGUUUGUUUGGUGCUCCUUUACUCAAAUUGCCCAAAUCAUUUCGGUCUACUGCACAACAUGGCAGCCAGAGCUAUUAAAGUAAAAAAUUUUUUUAAAUAACUUCUCCUCAAAAAUUGAUGAUUGUAUUUCUAUGAAACUUGAUGAAAAUGUUCGUUAGGUGGUCUUUGCUUGAACCUUUUGGCCAGUGGAGCACAGGCACUGAUGUGCCUCUUGUUAUAAUUUACUAUGAAAUAUGGGAUCAUUGUUGUGACUCAGAGAGCUAAGCUAAAGUCUGAUUAAAAAUUCAGAGUUAACAAGUUGGUUUGUUAUUAGUUAUUUUAAAUGCAAAUAUGGCAUUGCCAUAUUAAUUCUUAAACUGAGGCUCAUCCAGUUUACGUGCAUCAUUCUGAAAGUCUAUUGACAAAGUAUUUGAUAGUGAACAGUCUGUUUCUGAUAUUAGCUGAUUUUAUACUUCAAUUGUUGAAAUUAAACAACAAAUUCAUUUUAUUUGUUAUAAUGUAUUAUAAUUACAAGGGUAAUGGAUGCUGUAACUGUUUAGUAACAUAUUGUCAAUUUUCGCACUCUCUAAAUAGUCAAUCAGAACAGCAUUUUGAAAUUUAACUUAUGCUUGAAGAUUGCUUAGUCAUUUUUAUUUACUCUUGAUAUGAAUCUUAAUGAUUUAUAAUAUAAUACACUUCACCACACUUUUUGGGAAUCAAUAUAACCUUAUAAACAAUAACAAAUAGUCAGUUUAAUAAACAACUAGAAUUAGUGGUUUUCAGAUAAGUAGUGUGUGUGUUGUAUUGUAGGGGGAUGAUGGAGGGGGCAAUUCCGGUCGGCACCCCAAAGCCGUUUUUAAUUAAUUGUUCGAGUUAACUUUUUAUGUCAAUAUUGCAGCAAAAUGUACUAGUUCACACUUAAAAUAGUUGAAAAUAUAGCCAAGUCCUUCAAUCCUACUCAUAAACAUUGUUGUUAUUUAUCUGCAUGCAACUUAUUGCACGGUAAAAGCUUUGCCUACUGGAAACUGUUCUGAUUAAUGAUAAGACAAAAACAAAGAAACACCUUUCAAAUGUGGCAAAUAAAGAAUUCACUUUGAAUAAGAAUAAGAAUUUUGCUGUUUAUAGUUUGCACAAGGCCAUUUGCACAAGGCCAUAACUAUUAGAAUUGCAGUUGCUGUGUUACAAAACUGGGCAUUUUUGUUGCUUUAUUUGAAAAUAUUAAGUUUAAAUCUUCAAACAUAUUCAUGAAUACUUUUGACGCCAUUUAAGUCCCUUUGAAAUUGUAUAAAAAAAAAUUCUGGUAACUUGAGGUAAAAACAGAAGUAAAAUCAAGUGAAAAGAUCAAACUUUAAAUUGUUUGUCACAAAGUUGAUAGUUAAUAUCUAGAAUGAAUUAAAUUUCUGUUGAAUGAUUUAAAAUGUGUGGUCUGAUUCCUCUUUUUUUAUGUGGGAGAAUAGGUAAAAUAAUAAGUCAUCCAUUAUACUUAAAGAUACACUCUAGUACUCCCAAAUAAGAUUAACCAUAAUUAAUACAAUUGUUAUAAUAUACUAAAAAGGAUGAAUAAUUAUGUCUAAAACAAUGUUUCUUAUGAAGGAUGCUAAGUUUAAUUUAAAAGAAAGGUGCAGAAAACACGGUAUUUCUACCUAAUUAGAAGAUCAUAGUAAAUCUUUUUGCACUCACCAAUCGUUUAAUAUUUUUCAGCUAUUAAAUACACAGUUACCAUCUUGUAAGCAGUUUUUAAUAGUUUUCAUAUGUGCAUUAUUUAGUAAGUAGUUAAAGGUUUAUCACUCAAAAUUUAUGUUUGUUAUACAUGACUUUUUUGUGUAUGUCUUAUUAAUUGAAUUUUGAAUAUGAGUGUCACUUUAAAUGAUAUUAGAUAAAUAAAGAUUUAUCAAAAUAGUAAUAAUAAGAAUAAUAUUUUUUUAUAUUUUUUUUCAAACUAUAUAAUAUCCAAACUUUUAUUAACAUAAACAUUUCAAUUCACAUCACAUCAUGCAGAUAUGAUCAUAAUGACAUUGCAUCUUUUUAUUUUUUGAAUAUUUUCUAAUUUCAAUUUAUUUAAUGAUCAUAUAGUAACUAUAUACUUAUAUUCUAAUGAUAUAAAUAUCAUUAUUGAUAAAAUAUGUGCCAAAUAUUGAGAAAUGUGCAGCACUUGUAUAGUUUCGCAGUAAAAGUUAAUUCUUAUCAAAGAUAAAAAUACUGCGGAACUGUACCAUUUGAAAAACAGAAGAAGUAUUUUGAUAAAAAAUAUAUAUUUUAGCCAUAUAAGUUUAGAUCCACACUUUUCAUUCAUAUAAAUCUAAGAAAUGAAUGACAAAAAACACCUUUAUUCAAAUAGAACAAUUUCCAUUUGAAAAAAUAAUUUGAAAUUGACUUCAAAACUGUCCUAUUUGCUUGCAUAUUCACAUGGAACAGUUUCGGAAAAUAAAAUUGCUUUGCCAGAUGGAACGGACAAAUGUUGAAUAAAAUAAAUAUUUGUAGAGAUAUGAACUUAAUAUUUUUGUAGGAUAUGUAUCACAGUAUUAUAUAUAUAUUUUUGCCAAAAAGUGGUUUCUGAAAAUAUGUCAAAUGGAACAGUUUCGCGAUCAGCCCUCGAUCUGUCCUCUUGAUUUUCUUAAAUAUUAAAAUAUAAUAUAAACAAUAUUAUCAGAUCAUUUUUGUAUACUUUUGUGAAUGACUUGUUAUUUUAUAAAUACUGAUUUGUACUGUUUUUGUUUGCUAAACUGUCAUAAAGUUAUUAUCCUCGUUUCAAUUUGAAAGCCAGAAAACCUGCAUGUUAUGUA